rnacentral:rRNA from 1 species
GCCAGACUCCUACGGGAGGCAGCAGUGAGGAAUAUUGGUCAAUGGGCGCGAGCCUGAACCAGCCAAGUCGCGUGAGGGAUGACGGCCCUACGGGUUGUAAACCUCUUUUGUCGGGGAGCAAAUUCCGUUACGUGUAACGGAGUCGAGAGUACCCGGAGAAAAAGCAUCGGCUAACUCCGUGCCAGCAGCCGCGGUAAUACGGAGGAUGCGAGCGUUAUCCGGAUUUAUUGGGUUUAAAGGGUGCGUAGGCGGGCUGUUAAGUCGGCGGUCAAAUGUCGGGGCUCACCCCCGGCCUGCCGUUGAAACUGGCGGCCUCGAGUGGGCGAGAAGUAUGCGGAAUGCGUGGUGUAGCGGUGAAAUGCAUAGAUAUCGCGCAGAACUCCGAUUGCGAAGGCAGCAUGCCGGCUCCACACUGACGCUGAGGCACGAAAGCGUGGGUAUCGAACAGGAUUAGAUACCCGUGUACAC